UCAAACCUCCAUAUUAUGAAUUUACAAAAUAAGACAACGAUUAUACCGUCCCCUAUUUAUACUUCACAAAUUCGAAAACUCCACCCCACCUUUCCUCCACUAUCUGCUUCGAGUAAACCCUAAUUUGUUAUCCAAUUUGCUUCUAUCUCACAUAUUGCCAAUCGCUAUAGCCGGCGACUCCCUCUCCUCUCUUAAUCUCUCACUUCCUUCCCCUCUUCUCGACAUCUCUUCGAUAAAGCUGGCAAGAAUUUCGCUAAUCUUCGUCGUGCCUUUGAUAUAUGCGGAUCAAUUCACCUAGCUUGUAGAUAAUGUUGUAGAUACAGCUCGGGCGCUUUGGACAUACGAGGCUGCAAAUUGUCUUGAGGAUGCUUCGUGAGUCUCAUUUGUGUUUGUGCUCCAAGGUAAAUACGUUCUCUUUCCUCUUUUAUGUCUUCCUUUUUUUGUUGUUUAUGUCCUGCGUACACUUUUAAUCUUAAGUAUGCGUGGGUCCGAUUAAAGUGUAAUACUAUGUAUAUUGUUCCUUCUUCUAUGAAGAAGAUUAUGAUUUCUCAUACAUCAUAUGAGGUCACAAAGUAGUCUAAUGAUGAUAUCCCUUUUAUCUAAUAUUCAAUGUUACUUUUUAGCAAAUAUUGGUCUCUCCACAAAAUUAUGUAAUGUUGUCUUUCAACUUAUAUCUUUUGGGAGAAAAGGUGUAGUUUGUUUGUAAAACUACUUGCAUUGCAUGAAUGCAAAUGUUAGGCGGUAAAAAAGGUGUGCCUAUAACACGUUCAGGACAACAGAACAUAAUUUUUUGUCAAGCAGAUAAAAAAGGUGUGCCUAUAACACAUUUCAAAGGGAGAGUGCUCUCACAAUAAGAGACUUUGGUCCUACCUCAAAAGAAGGUUAGCAAAUUAAACUUCGAGUAUUUCUGUUUAGAGUAAUAUUCGGAGGUUUGUGCUAAUAGUCUUAAUGCAAGCUACUAAUUGAUUAACCUGUCGUAUAUAACUUUUUCUUCGUGAACUUUUUUGCUGUUAAUUACUGAAUUCUCAGGGAUUUUACCUGAAGAGGUUAAAUAUUUAAAGGACUCCUACAAAUCUAUUUAUUAUUAAAAAUUAUGGUAAAUUUACCCCUAUGAUUGCUUAGAUGUGCAGAUACGAAUAUACUUUUGAUCAUGUUUCUUUAUCCUCUUCAGCUUUGGAUGGUACUGCCCCUAUUCAUGUGACUCUCAAGCUACUCAAGAUCUUACUUGAUAAGAGGCAUGUCAUAUAUGUCUGGCCUUAUGUUUCAAUUACCUUAUAUUUUGGCGAAUUAUCACUGUACAAAUCACAAAUAUAUUCGAUUAACACCAGGAGUUCUUCGGCAUUUUUGCUCUGCUGCUAAAUUUUUUUUUUAUGUUUUCAGUUACAACACUUAGUUCUUGGUAAGAAAAUUCUUUUAUGUUUUCAGUUACAACACUUAGUUAUAACACCUGAUGCUUUAUAUGGAGAUUGUUGAUGCUAUGAUGCUCGAGAAUUGUAACUAGUAUGUAUAUAUAUACACAUAUAUGUUUGUAUCUUGAUCCAUGUUUGUAUCUUGAUCCUUUUGAGUAUCUUAUUGCUUUUUGUUUCGAUUUAUUUUGUAGGCACUGGAUGUAGCAAAAUUGUAUCAUCACUUGACAACCCAAGAAGUACACCACAUAGAAAUAACAAAGAACAAGUUUAGGAUUUGCGAGAAUUAUUUUCCUCAUGGAAUGUAAAAUAUUACUCCUUGAAAUUUAGUUACAUUUUAUGAUGUAAUUUUAAAAUGCUUAUUCUUUUAAUAUAUGAUGAUUGAUUUAUUUA